rnacentral:lncRNA from 1 species
GGAGGAAGAAAGGCUGAAGGUGUGACGGUUAGGUGAUAGGGUUCUUUGGGAAGAUGGGCAGCAAAGGAGCUGUUUGGUGGAUGAGAAGUGAUUGGUAGAUUUGGCAUGCUAAAGGAGAGGUUCUCUAAGGGUGGCAAAGGGGUUGUUUGGUGGAUGAGAAGUGAUUGGCAGAUAUGGCAUGCUAAAGGAGAGGUUCUCUAAGGGGUAAUGGUUGAGGUGGAGAUAAAGAAGAGACUAUACAGCCUUCAGAUGCAGAAAAAUGGGGAAGUAGUCGGGGUGCAUUCAGCGGUUCGACCAAUGCAUGGAUAUGCAGAGCCUUGGAAUGUGGAGAUGGCUGAUCCAUAGAGUGUCAGAGAUGGUUCAGAGGAGGAGGAGGUCCUCUGAUAGUUUCAUAGGGGUCCAUGGAGUGUGGA